GAGUACCUACAGUCAAAAGAGAAGUCAUGCAACAAUUCCUAUCAAAUUCUGAAUCAAAGUGUUGAACUUAAUUACCCAGUACAGUAGAGAAUAGUAUCAGCAACUACACUUGAACCAUCAGCAAAUACAACAGUUCCGUCUUCACAAAGCAACUCAAUCUACAACAUAUGUACGUAGUGCAGUCAUUCAAAAAUCACAGCUGAUAUGAUUCAUACCAUUGCUGUUAAAGACAAUAAUAUCAACAGAACUUCAACAAUUACCUCUUGGUGCCAGAGCAGAUGUGCAUACUUGGACACAGGCUUCACUAAUUGCUGAGGGAUUUCACCGUGUUUAGUACUUAUAUGGACUUCUUUGGCAACAUGAAGAAGCUCCAGAGCAAUCUCUGGUCCACUGAUUGAGCCACCAACGACCACUACCACCUGCAAAUAUUCACAAACAAGCAAGGAAUUCAAUUACAGAGGAGAUAUGAUUUAAUCCUCUGUUGUUUAACUAUUUCUUUGUGGCUGCAAUAGAUCAAAGAACAACCUCAUCUUGGAAUGGCUCUGGGACUCUGUACACAUGGCAGUGAAGCUGCUUCCUCUUCCACUCCUCCAUUCCUGAGGAGCACAGAAGAAGAGAAGGUAACAGAGUGGCGAAAUGAUGUAAAAAUCUUAGUGAAUGCUUUACCCUUGAUUUUUGGGAGCCUGGGUAGGGAGAAAUGGCCGGUGGCGACGACAACCGCAUCA